UACGUAGGCAGCGAGCGUUGUUCGGAGUUACUGGGCGUAAAGGGUGUGUAGGCGGUUCUUUAAGUUUGGUGUGAAAUCUCCCGGCUCAACCGGGAGGGUGCGCCGAAAACUGGGGGGACUAGAGUGCGGGGAUGGGGAGAGUAGAAUUCCUGGUGUAGCGGUGAAAUGCGUAGAUAUCAGGAGGAAUACCGGUGGUGUAGACGGCUCUCUGGACCGCAACUGACGCUGAGACACGAAAGCGUGGGUAGCAAACAGG
rnacentral:rRNA from 1 species